rnacentral:rRNA from 1 species
CCUACGGGCGGCUGCAGUGGGGAAUAUUGCACAAUGGGGGGAACCCUGAUGCAGCAAUGCCGCGUGGGUGAAGAAGCACUCCGGUGCGUAAAGCCCUGUCAGCAGGGAAGAAAAUGACAGUACCUGACCAAGAAGCCCCGGCUAACUACGUGCCAGCAGCCGCGGUAAUACGUAGGGGGCAAGCGUUAUCCGGAUUUACUGGGUGUAAAGGGAGCGUAGGCGGUAUGGCAAGUCGGAAGUGAAAGCCCAGGGCCCAACCGUGGGACUGCAUUGGAAACUGCCAGACUAGAGUGCUGGAGAGGUAAGGGGAAUUCGUAGGGUAGCGGUGAAAUGCGUAGAUAUGAGGAGGA